rnacentral:rRNA from 1 species
GACGAACGCUGGCGGCGUGCUUAACACAUGCAAGUCGAACGGAAAGGCCCUUCUUUUGUGGGGUGCUCGAGUGGCGAACGGGUGAGUAACACGUGAGUAACCUGCCCUUUACUUUUGGAUAACUUCAGGAAACUGGGGCUAAUACCGGAUAGUAGCUCCUGCUGCAUGGUGGUGGUUGGAAAGUUUCGUCGGUUGGGGAUGGACUCGCGGCUUAUCAGCUUGUUGGUGGGGUAGUGGCUUACCAAGGCUUUGACGGGUAGCCGGCCUGAGAGGGUGACCGGCCAAAUGGGGACUGAGAUACGGCCCAGACUCCUACGGGAGGAAGCAGUGGGGAAUAUUGAAAAAUGGGCGGAAGCCUGAUGAAGAAACGCCGCGUGCGGGAGGACGGCCUUGGGGUUGAAAACCGCUUUCGCAGGUGACGAAGCGUGAGUGACGGUAAUGGGUAAAGAAGCACCGGCUAACUACGUG